CAAGGAUAACCCAGCACUGCGUGGACGUGGUGCAGGAGAUGCAGAUCUGACCCCAGCACUGCAUGGACAGCGUUGCAGGAGAUGCAGAUCUGAGCUGCCGUGCACCCGUGCUGCAAGGAUGACCCAGCACUGCAUGGACAGCGUUGCAGGAGAUGCAGAUCUGGCCCCAGAACGCAAGGAUGGGGUGCAGGAGAUGCAGGUCUGAGCUGCAGUGCAUG
rnacentral:lncRNA from 1 species